rnacentral:rRNA from 1 species
GACGAACGCUGGCGGCGUGCCUAAUACAUGCAAGUAGAACGCUGAAGGAGGAGCUUGCUUCUCUGGAUGAGUUGCGAACGGGUGAGUAACGCGUAGGUAACCUGCCUGGUAGCGGGGGAUAACUAUUGGAAACGAUAGCUAAUACCGCAUAAGGGUAGAUGUUGCAUGACAUUUGCUUAAAAGGUGCAAUUGCAUCACUACCAGAUGGACCUGCGUUGUAUUAGCUAGUUGGUGGGGUAACGGCUCGCCAAGGCGACGAUACAUAGCCGACCUGAGAGGGUGAUCGGCCACACUGGGACUGAGACACGGCCCAGACUCCUACGGGAGGCAGCAGUAGGGAAUCUUCGGCAAUGGACGGAAGUCUGACCGAGCAACGCCGCGUGAGUGAAGAAGGUUUUCGGAUCGUAAAGCUCUGUUGUAAGAGAAGAACGAGUGUGAGAGUGGAAAGUUCACACUGUGACGGUAUCUUACCAGAAAGGGACGGCUAACUACGUG